GCGCUGCUAUAGCUCAGCGGUAGAGCACUCCCUUGGUAAGGGAUUAGUCAAGUACUUUUGAUUUUUCUGUAUCUCUUUAUUUUCUGCGCC
rnacentral:tRNA from 1 species